UAUUGCACAUUCCCCAGCCUGA
rnacentral:miRNA from 2 species